UCCCCUUUUUAUGUGUGUGUGUGUGUGUGUGUAUAUAUAUAUAUAUACACACACACACACACACACACACAGACACACACACAUGCAGGAGA